CCUACGGGAGGCAGCAGUGAGGAAUAUUGGUCAAUGGGCGAGAGCCUGAACCAGCCAAGUCGCGUGAAGGAUGACGGCCCUACGGGUUGUAAACUUCUUUUGUCAGGGAGCAAUUGGGUCCACGCGUGGGCUUAGCGAGAGUACCUGAAGAAAAAGCAUCGGCUAACUCCGUGCCAGCAGCCGCGGUAAUACGGAGGAUGCGAGCGUUAUCCGGAUUUAUUGGGGUUAAAGGGUGCGUAGGCGGAAUAUCAAGUCAGCGGUAAAAAUUCGGGGCUCAACCCCGUCGUGCCGUUGAAACUGAUGUUCUUGAGUGGGCGAGAAGUAUGCGGAAUGCGGGAGGGGCAGGCGGAAUUCCUGGUGUAGCGGUGAAAUGCGUAGAUAUCAGGAGGAACACCGGCGGCGAAGGCGGCCUGCUGGACCGCGACUGACGUUGAGGCUCGAAAGCGUGGGGAGCGAACAGGAUUAGAUACCCUUGUAGUC
rnacentral:rRNA from 1 species